rnacentral:rRNA from 1 species
CCUACGGGUGGCAGCAGUGGGGAAUCUUGGGCAAUGGGCGCAAGCCUGACCCUGCAACGCCGCGUGAAGGAAGAAGGCUCUUGGGUUGUAAACUCCUUGUCAGUGGGAAGAGCUGAAGACGGUACCUCUUGAAUAAGCCACGGCUAACUACGUGACAGCAGCCGCGGCAGUACGUGGGUGGCAAGCGUUGUCCGGAUUUACUGGGUGUAAAGGGCGUGCAGUCGGGAAGACAAGUCAGAUGUGAAAACCGGCGGAUCAACCACCGACCUGCACAUGAAACUGUUUUUCUGGAGUACCGGAGGGGGCAUCGGAAUUCCUGGUGUAGCAGUGAAAUGCGUAGAUAUAGGGAAGAACACCAGUGGCGAAGGCGGAUGACUGGACAGCAACUGACGGUGAGGCGCGAAGGCGAGGGGAGCGAACGGGAUUAGAUACCCUUGUAGUC